rnacentral:rRNA from 1 species
UUGAAUUGAAGAGUUUGAUCAUGGCUCAGAUUGAACGCUGGCGGCAGGCUUAACACAUGCAAGUCGAACGGUAGCAGGAAGAAGCUUGCUUUCUUUGCUGACGAGUGGCGGACGGGU